rnacentral:rRNA from 1 species
UACAGAGAGUGCAAGCGUUAAUCGGAAUUACUGGGCGUAAAGCGCACGUAGGUGGAUUCUUAAGUCGGAUGUGAAAGCCCUGGGCUCAACCCAGGAACUGCAUUCGAUACUGGGCAUCUAGAGUAUAGUAGAGGGAAGUGGAAUUUCAGGUGUAGCGGUGAAAUGCGUAGAUAUCUGAAGGAACAUCAGUGGCGAAAGCGGCUUCCUGGACUAAUACUGACACUGAGGUGCGAAAGCGUGGGGAGCAAACAGG